UGCAAGUCGAACGGGAUCCAUCAGGCUUUGCUUGGUGGUGAGAGUGGCGAACGGGUGAGUAAUGCGUGACCGACCUGCCCCAUACACCGGAAUAGCUCCUGGAAACGGGUGGUAAUGCCGGAUGCUCCGACUCCUCGCAUGGGGUGUCGGGAAAGAUUAUAUCGGUAUGGGAUGGGGUCGCGUCCUAUCAGGUAGUCGGCGGGGUAACGGCCCACCGAGCCUACGACGGGUAGCCGGCCUGAGAGGGCGACCGGCCACAUUGGGACUGAGAUACGGCCCAGACUCCUACGGGAGGCAGCAGUGGGGAAUAUUGCACAAUGGGCGCAAGCCUGAUGCAGCGACGCCGCGUGCGGGAUGACGGCCUUCGGGUUGUAAACCGCUUUUGAUCGGGAGCAAGCCUUCGGGUGAGUGUACCUUUCGAAUAAGCACCGGCUAACUACGUGCCAGCAGCCGCGGUAAUACGUAGGGUGCAAGCGUUAUCCGGAAUUAUUGGGCGUAAAGGGCUCGUAGGCGGUUCGUCGCGUCCGGUGUGAAAGUCCAUCGCUUAACGGUGGAUCUGCGCCGGGUACGGGCGGGCUGGAGUGCGGUAGGGGAGACUGGAAUUCCCGGUGUAACGGUGGAAUGUGUAGAUAUCGGGAAGAACACCAAUGGCGAAGGCAGGUCUCUGGGCCGUUACUGACGCUGAGGAGCGAAAGCGUGGGGAGCGAACAGGAUUAGAUACCCUGGUAGUCCACGCCGUAAACGGUGGAUGCUGGAUGUGGGGCCCGUUCCACGGGUUCCGUGUCGGAGCUAACGCGUUAAGCAUCCCGCCUGGGGAGUACGGCCGCAAGGCUAAAACUCAAAGAAAUUGACGGGGGCCCGCACAAGCGGCGGAGCAUGCGGAUUAAUUCGAUGCAACGCGAAGAACCUUACCUGGGCUUGACAUGUUCCCGACAGCCGUAGAGAUAUGGCCUCCCUUCGGGGCGGGUUCACAGGUGGUGCAUGGUCGUCGUCAGCUCGUGUCGUGAGAUGUUGGGUUAAGUCCCGCAACGAGCGCAACCCUCGCCCUGUGUUGCCAGCACGUCAUGGUGGGAACUCACGGGGGACCGCCGGGGUCAACUCGGAGGAAGGUGGGGAUGACGUCAGAUCAUCAUGCCCCUUACGUCCAGGGCUUCACGCAUGCUACAAUGGCCGGUACAACGGGAUGCGACACGGCGACGUGGAGCGGAUCCCUGAAAACCGGUCUCAGUUCGGAUUGGAGUCUGCAACCCGACUCCAUGAAGGCGGAGUCGCUAGUAAUCGCGGAUCAGCAACGCCGCGGUGAAUGCGUUCCCGGGCCUUGUACACACCGCCCGUCAAGUCAUGAAAGUGGGUAGCACCCGAAGCCGGUGGCCUAACCCU
rnacentral:rRNA from 1 species